AUACUCCACAUUUAUUUGUGGGGUGUUUUUAAUUUAAAGAAACGCCUUGAGAUAUUUCCUAGUAGUUAUAAAAAUUAAUUAGUAUUGAAUAUCACGACUACAUUUUUGAAAAGUGAUGUAGAUUUAUAGCCAUAAUUUUUAGAUUUACAUUGACGAUACUGCAUCAAAAGAAAAA
rnacentral:ncRNA from 1 species